rnacentral:rRNA from 1 species
ACGCUCGUAGUCUGAUGUAAUGGGGACUGGCGUGGGGAGCAGCGAUGCUUCCUUUGCUUCGGUCCCCAUCAAGGGGACAGCAAUGUCCCAUUUUACUUUGAGGAAAUUAGAGUGUUCAAAGCAGGCGAUUGCUUGAAUACUGCAGCAUGGAAUAAUGGAAUAGGACUCGCGUCUUAUUUUGUUGGUUUGGAGAUGUGAGUAAUGAUGAAUAGGGACAGUUGGGGGCAUUGGUAUUCAGUAGUCAGAGGUGAAAUUCUUGGAUUUACUGAAGACUAACUAGUGCGAAAGCAUUUGCCAAGGAUGUUUUCAUUGAUCAAGAACGAAAGUUAGGGGAUCGAAGACGAUUAGAUACCGUCGUAGUCUUAACCAUAAACGAUGCCCGACUAGGGGAUCGGCGGAUGACGUUUUAGCGGUUGCCGCCGGGACCUUGCGAGAAAUCAAAAGUUUUUUGGGUUUCUGGGGGGGAGUAUGGUCCGCAAGGCUGAAACUUAAAGGGAAUUGACGGGAAGGGCACCACCAGGGAGGUGGAGCCUGCGGCUUAUUUUGACUCAACCACGGGAAAACCUUCACCCAGGUCCGGGACAUGGGUAAGGGAUU